rnacentral:rRNA from 1 species
GAUGAACGCUGGCGGCGUGCUUAACACAUGCAAGUCGAACGGAAAGGCUCCUGCUUGCAGGGGUACUCGAGUGGCGAACGGGUGAGUAACACGUGGGUGAUCUGCCCUGCACUUCGGGAUAAGCCUGGGAAACUGGGUCUAAUACCGGAUAGGACCACAUUUUGGAUGGUGUGGUGGAAAGUUUUUCGGUGUGGGAUGAGCUCGCGGCCUAUCAGCUUGUUGGUGGGGUAAUGGCCUACCAAGGCGUCGACGGGUAGCCGGCCUGAGAGGGUGUACGGCCACAUUGGGACUGAGAUACGGCCCAGACUCCUACGGGAGGCAGCAGUGGGGAAUAUUGCACAACGGGCGCAAGCCUGAUGCAGCGACGCCGCGUGGGGGAUGACGGCCUUCGGGUUGUAAACUCCUUUCGCUAGGGACGAAGCGCAAGUGACGGUACCUGGAGAAGAAGCACCGGCUAACUACGUG